rnacentral:rRNA from 1 species
UACAGAGGGGGCAAGCGUUGUUCGGAAUUACUGGGCGUAAAGGGCGCGUAGGCGGCCUGCUAAGUCGAACGUGAAAUCCCUGGGCUCAACCCAGGAACUGCGUCCGAUACUGGUUGGCUUGAAUCCGGGAGAGGGACGUGGAAUUCCAGGUGUAGCGGUGAAAUGCGUAGAUAUCUGGAGGAACACCGGUGGCGAAGGCGGCAUCCUGGACCGAUACUGACGCUGAGGAGCGAAAGCCAGGGGAGCAAACGGG